UUGAACGCUGGCGGCAUGCUUUACACAUGCAAGUCGAACGGUAACAGGCCGCAAGGUGCUAACGAGUGGCGAACGGGUGAGUAAUGCAUCGGAACGUGCCCAGUCGUGGGGGAUAACUACUCGAAAGAGUAGCUAAUACCGCAUACGAUCUAUGGAUGAAAGCGGGGGACCGUAAGGCCUCGCGCGAUUGGAGCGGCCGAUGUCAGAUUAGGUAGUUGGUGGGGUAAAGGCUCACCAAGCCAACGAUCUGUAGCUGGUCUGAGAGGACAACCAGCCACACUGGGACUGAGACACGGCCCAGACUCCUACGGGAGGCAGCAGUGGGGAAUUUUGGACAGUGGGCGCAAGCCUGAUCCAGCAAUGCCGCGUGCAGGAAGAAGGCCUUCGGGUUGUAAACUGCUUUUGUACGGAACGAAACGGCUCUGGUUAAUACCCGGGGCUAAUGACGGUACCGUAAGAAUAAGCACCGGCUAACUACGUG
rnacentral:rRNA from 1 species